ACGCACGCUGGCGGCGUGCUUAACACAUGCAAGUCGCACGGAAAGGCCCUGCUUUUGUGGGGUGCUCGAGUGGCGAACGGGUGAGUAACACGUGAGUAACCUGCCCUUGACUUUGGGAUAACUUCAGGAAACUGGGGCUAAUACCGGAUAGGAGCUCCUGCUGCAUGGUGGGGGUUGGAGAGUUUCGGCGGUUGGGGAUGGACUCGCGGCUUAUCAGCUUGUUGGUGGGGUAGUGGCUUACCAAGGCUUUGACGGGUAGCCGGCCUGAGAGGGUGACCGGCCACAUUGGGACUGAGAUACGGCCCAGACUCCUACGGGAGGCAGCAGUGGGGAAUAUUGCACAAUGGGCGGAAGCCUGAUGCAGCAACGCCGCGUGCGGGAUGACGGCCUUCGGGUUGUAAACCGCUUUCGCCUGUGACGAAGCGUGAGUGACGGUAAUGGGUAAAGAAGCACCGGCUAACUACGUG
rnacentral:rRNA from 1 species